rnacentral:lncRNA from 1 species
UGAGCAAAUUCAGCUCUGACCUUCAUCCUGGCUGGGGGAGGGGAGACGCCCCACCCUGCUCAGACCCUGGGCUUUUUAUUGAAAGGCAGUGCCAGGCACACUCUGAUGGGUCUUGGGGGAGACCAAGGGUGCCCUGCUCAAUGUCAGCCCUGACUCUGUGCCACGUGCACUCAGCUCUGCCACGGAGGUGCAUGGCUCUGUAGACGUGGACGGUGAGCUGGGGAGGAAGGUGGUCUUGGAGAGAAAUGCCCCAUGGGGAGCUGAGACCUGUGUGUCAUGGGAUCAUCCUGGAUUUGGCUUAAAAUCCACGUGGCUGUGGAAAUCCCAGGGUGCACCGAGGAUCUGUGGGGGAGCAGGGGUAAGUCCAGGUGAACCUCGAGCUGUUCUCAGCCCUGAGGUUUGGGUCACUCCGAGAGCACUUGGGUCUCUGCCGAACGGCACAGAUCAUUCUCAGGCCCUUACAACCAUCCGGGUCACUCUAGAAUUCCUUUUAGGACUCCUGGGCUGGGCUGUGGCUAUUCAGGACUCUGGGUAAGAGCCCUUGGAGUCACCUGGGAGGUAGAAUCGCCAUUUUCUAGCAGCCAUCUUGAAUGGCAGAUUCCCUGCAGUUCAAGCUGGGGCUGCCCAAGGGGUUCUGGGGGGUCCUGGGUGCCUUCCAGUUGCCCCUCCAGGUGCACCCCCUCCUCCCCCAGGACACUGACCGGCGGGGGCCAUCGUGGGGGACCUUGUGCUCUCUGGCUCUGGCUGGCUCAGCCAGUGGGAGCCUGUGGGGCUGGGAGGGAGGAGGGUGUGAUGAGGCAUCUCCUUCCCGCUGGGCUCCUCCCCACCUCUUUCCUCCUUUUCCAAGUCCCCUGACCAUCCCUCCCCUAUCUCUCCAGGUCUCUUAAAUUACCACGGUGCCAGCUACAUGGCCCGGGUGGGUGGUUCCCCACACUGCCUACCCCUUCAUACCUCGCCCCAUUACACCCUCCUGGAAUCAUUCUCACUGGAGGCUGCACCGUUUCCUGCUGCCCACGAUGAACAAAGCAGGAAACUGUCUUUUCCAGACUUCCCCACGAAGUGAGGUUUUGACGACCUCAUUCUCCAAGAGCAAACCCAGCCCCUGGAGUCCGUUCUUUCCCUGCGCGCGUGGACACCCCUGCAGCAGUGGCUCCUUUUGGUGGCCGCUCUUCAGACACGUGCUAGAGAGCAAUCAUUGAUGACAACGUUUUCUUUCAAAAGGCCCAGAAAACAAAAUUAAAUCUUGGGACUCGAAGCUUCCUGGGCCUGUGCCACGAAGGCCCAUGCUUAGCCGGUCUGGUGCCAGGCUCUGUGACGUGUGGAAACCAGGCCCACCGACCACACAGCAGUGGCUGAGGAUGGCUCCCUCCUCGGCUACUCUCUGAAAUGGUAGAGGCCACUCUCAUGGCUGAGUGGUCUCCGCCGUUCUGCAGAGGUGUGGAUAAGAACAGGAGUUCCUGCUUGUCUCCUAGGGGUCCGUAUUGAACGUUGGCAAUCAGUGGAAAUCCUGUCUCAGGCCCUCUCGGGGCCCCACACUGAUCAUUGUAUUUAAAUCCUCCCAGUGUCCUGCAGACACCUACCUCCCAGACCAAAGAGGGACCUUGCUGGUGGCCAGGAAACAAGCUGAAGCACAGAGAGGAGAGAAAGAGACAGAGUUGGGUCCUCGGGUCACCUUAAAAGGCUGUGAGACUUUUUGCCAGGGCAGGGCCUGGCGGGUGGUGGAGAUGCAGGAUGAAGGACUUAAGGAGGGAUCUUUUACUUUCAGUGUGAAAGUGACCUGUGUUUUUAUGAGGGGGCUAGAGAAAUACUCAGAAUCUGAGAGCAGGCAGUUGGAGUGGGAUCUCAGCAAACUUCCGUGUCUGCAUGGUCCUGCAACCAUCGCCCUGGACAGAGGUCUCAGCUGGGUAGAGAUGGACGGUUGUCAGGGCACAGCCUGUCCUUAGGGGGUGCUAGGAAUGGGGAUUGGGGUGAAGAGGAGUUCAGGAAAGAGGGGUGAGGCAUGGGGAACCUGCUGGCUUAGAGGAUGCAAAGGGGCAGGUUUUAUGGACGCUUUAUGCAGGUCCCUUUCAUAAAGAUACUUGCCCAGCCUGAGCAGAAACCCACACCCUAGAGUUUGUUUCUUCCCUGUGGGCACCCCCCGCCCCCGCAGCAGCGGCUUCUUUCAGUGGCAGAGGCUGACUCUUUUUGCAGCUUCUCCAGCACUUGCAAAUGCAACUUCCUUGCACCCACUUCAGACACUUUACAGCUGGAACCCCUUCCUUCAAGGUUAGGGGCCCAGGCCCACAGCCCCUACCUCCAAGUUUCCACGUUUGAAGAAUCCCAACCUUUUCCCUUUGCCUCCUCAGCCUCAGGGGUGACACCUCAGAGCUCCUGUUUACCUCUUUAGCCACCAGGUUAGUAAUUUUACACCCAUGCAAGUGUGUACAGGAAUCUUCCGGAUCCAAGUGGCUGGUGUGGGCGUUGUCUUCUGUCUGAACCCUGGCCCUUGUCUGUGCAGAUUCCUCCCCUCCUGUCCGGGAGAGAAGAGACAGUUUCGAUGUCAUGUGGAGACAGGAGGCUGUGGUCAACGAGGGGAGGCUGUGGUCAACGAGGGGAGGCUGUGGUGGGGGGUGGCGUUCUGAGUCACUUGGCUGGCUUGGGAAUGUGAGCUGGGCCAGGUGCACCUUAGAGAGCCUGGGUGGUGCUGGGGACCUUCAGGCUCUGGAGUCCUGGGUGACCCUGACAGGUGCAUGUACCCACAUCUCCUUGGCCCCUGUCUCUGUUGCUAAUGUCCCUGCACAGACCCCCCCCAGCCGUCAUUUACAGAUUCCCAGCAGUGAAGCACACGGGCUUAGGUUAAAAUCACUGAGCCCCUUGCACAGCGGCCUUCUGGUCCCCUCUGCUGUAAGGCAGGACCACCUGUCAGCCCCUGUCUUCUGGGGACCCCACUAGGCCUAAGAGAUGAGGCUGUGGGGUUCUGUCUUCUGGAGGCCCCACUAGGCCUAAGAGAUGAGGCCGGCGGCGGAGGUCUGGCCUGGAAGAGAAAUGUGGUGAGUCACCCCAGGCCUGACAGAUUCACUCAGACCUGGUCCUUCUGCUCCUAGGCUGAGCCAUCUCUCAGGGACCCUCCUGCCCUCCUUCACCUCUCACCUGGCCUGCCCCAACCAGUUCUCCAGGCAAGCCCAAACCAGUUCCACCUGGUUUGUGACUGUGUUUGGAAAGAGGGUCUUUGCCGAGGUAAUUAAGUUAAAAUGAGGUCAUGUGAGUGGGCCCUGAGCCAGUCUGAUGGGUGUCCUUACAGGAAGACAUUAGGACUCCCAGAGGGUGACUCCAGGGGCAGGUGGCUUGGAGGACUGGCCGUGCAAGGAGGCAGCAAAGGGGCGGCCAUCUGCAAGCUGAGGGCAGAGGCCUUGGAGGAAGCAGCCCUGCCAGUGCUGGUAACUCCUGCAGGUCGGAAGUCCAAACCAAGGUGCUGGAAGGGCUGGUUCCUUCCGGACCCUUCAGGGGAGAAUCUUUCUGCCUCUUUGGCUUCUUGAGGCCCCUUCCUGGCAUUGCUUCUUUCUCCACUGACUCCUACCAUCAGCGCUGAGUCCUGCCUGCCUCUUAUAAGAUCUUCAGAGGCCACCUGGGAUGUCAGAAGCUUCCAGGAACCAGGAGGUAGCUGCAUCUCCUGUCCCUUCCCUGAGUCACCUUGCUGGACUCCACAGUGUGGUGCAGACAAGAAGCUGCAGGGGACAACAUGGAAGGAAGCGGGGAUGGAGGAGAUGGAAUGGGAUGGGCUCUGGGCCCGGCCAAGCAGAGCAGGAUAGGGCUGAGAGUCAUCUGAGCACAGGUGGUUCAAAUGGCAGAGAAGCUCCACGCUGGAGCGGGGAAGAGCUUGGGCUUUCCGGCCAGAAAGCGCAGGUUUUGGCCACGGCUCUUCUGCCACUCACUAGAUGUGGGAGUUUGGAGGCGUUACCCGAGCUCUGAGCCUUACUUUCCUCAUCUGAAAAAUGGGAAUAAUGGUAGGGUUAAAUUAAACCAAAUUUGGUCUGAGGAUGCCUCUGCACUUUGAGUCCAACUGCGACCUUAGCAGCAAAUGAACUGCAGGCCUAGCUUAGGAGUGUACUUUUGUAAGAAAUAGCCGAGUCUUAGCCAAUCACAGCAGCUGAGCUUCUAUAAAUCGCAGGUGGCUGCUGAGUAGUCCAUGUUCAAACACGGCAAACCAAGCUGUGACCAAUGAGCUGUCUCUGCAGCUCACUUCCAUUUUCUGUCUAUAAACACUCCCUGCCCACACUGUGGAGUGGAGCUCAGCCCUUGGAACCUCUUCUGGUCUGAGGGCUGCCCACUUCAUGAAUCCUUUGCUUAAUUAAACUCAAUUCAUUUCAAAUGAAACUCAAUUGAUUGCUAGAUUAAUUUAAAUUUAAUUCGUCUAAAGUUUUCUUUUAACAGUUCCUACCUUGUUG